UACGUAGGGGGCUAGCGUUGUCCGGAAUCAUUGGGCGUAAAGCGCGCGUAGGCGGCCAGAUAAGUCCGGUGUGAAAGUCACAGUCUCAACCUGUGAAUGCCGCUGGAAACUGUCUGGCUAGAGUCCGGAAGGGGCGAGUGGAAUUCCUGGUGUAGCGGUGAAAUGCGCAGAUAUCAGGAGGAACACCAAUGGCGAAGGCAGCUCGCUGGAACGGUACUGACGCUCAGGCACGAAAGCGUGGGGAGCAAACAGG
rnacentral:rRNA from 1 species